UACGGAGGGUGGCGAGCGUUGUCCGGAAUCAUUGGGCGUAAAGGGCGCGUAGGUGGCCCAGUAAGCGUGCGGUGAAAGCUCGGGGCUCAACCCCGGGUCGGCCGUGCGAACUACUGGGCUGGAGCACUGUAGAGGCAGGCGGAAUUCCGGGUGUAGCGGUGGAAUGCGUAGAGAGUCCGGAAGAACAUCGGUGGCGAAGGCGCUCUGCUGGACCAUAACGUGACACUCAGGGACGAA
rnacentral:rRNA from 1 species